rnacentral:tRNA from 1 species
GCCUGGCUGGUUCAGUUGGUAGAGCAUGCAACUCUUGAUUGUGGGGUGGUGAGUUCAAGCCCCACGUUGGGUG